AUUGAACGCUGGCGGCAGGCUUAACACAUGCAAGUCGAGCGGGGGAAGGUAGCUUGCUACUGGACCUAGCGGCGGACGGGUGAGUAAUGCUUAGGAAUCUGCCUAUUAGUGGGGGACAACAUCUCGAAAGGGAUGCUAAUACCGCAUACGUCCUACGGGAGAAAGCAGGGGAUCUUCGGACUUUGCGCUAAUAGAUGAGCCUAAGUCGGAUUAGCUAGUUGGUGGGGUAAAGGCCUACCAAGGCGACGAUCUGUAGCGGGUCUGAGAGGAUGAUCCGCCACACUGGGACUGAGACACGGCCCAGACUCCUACGGGAGGCAGCAGUGGGGAAUAUUGGACAAUGGGGGAAACCCUGAUCCAGCCAUGCCGCGUGUGUGAAGAAGGCCUUAUGGUUGUAAAGCACUUUAAGCGAGGAGGAGGCUACUCUAGUUAAUACCUAGGGAUAGUGGACGUUACUCGCAGAAUAAGCACCGGCUAACUCUGUGCCAGCCGCCGCCGUAA
rnacentral:rRNA from 1 species